rnacentral:lncRNA from 1 species
AAAAUUGAAAACCAACCCAAUUUAGUUCAACAUUCAUAAAAUUAUGAUAUUAUUUACACUGAAUAUUUUUAUAGAAACUUUUAUGUAAAUAAAAAAGUAUGAUUAUAUAUUUAUAUAAACAAUACAUUUUCUUUAAAAAAUAUUUAUUUUGGUUAUAAUUGUUAAAGUAAAAAGUUAAAUAAUCAUUUUGUGAAUAAUGUCUCUAUUAUAGAGGAAUACUAUUUAUUCAUCUAAAUAUAGAGAUGAAAAUAGCAAUCUCUAAUUUAGAGGAAGAAAUAGAGUAGGAUUGAAGUGAUUUUACCUCUAAAUGCUAUAAUAGAGGCAAAUAUAGAAGUGAUUUGGAU